GCAGAUAGAGACUACUCUCAUAAAGAGGCUUGGCCCAUCUGAUCUCGGAAGCUAAGCAGGGUUGGGCCCGGUUAGUACUUGAAUGGGAGACCACCUAGGAAGACCAGGUGCUGUAGGCA
rnacentral:rRNA from 1 species